rnacentral:misc_RNA from 1 species
GUAGGUGAACCUGCGGAGGGAUCAUUACCGAGUGAGGGUCGUUCCGGCGCCCGACCUCCCAACCCUUUGCCUGACCAAACCUCUGUUGCCUCGGGGGCGACCCGGCCCUUUUUCCAAAAAGGCGUCGGGGCCCCCGGUGGACCAACCAACCAAACUCUGCAUCCGUGCGUCGGAGUCGAAAUAAAAUAAAUUAAAACUUUCAACAACGGAUCUCUUGGUUCUC